GCCAUGCGCGAAUCCUUACAAAGCCAGACACACGGGUGUUGUCGUGCGUUGAACAGAGGAGAGUCGGUUAAAAUUCUCCCUGUGGCAAGUAAAGGGUGUGAACUUGGCUUCCUGUCCUGGCCAUGUCUGCUGUCUGCAGCUUGUGGCCACGCCUCUCCACCCUGAUAGACAUGAAUCCCUCUGGAGCCAUAAGCUAGGAUUCCCUCUUCCUUCAGUUGCUUUGGUCAUGACCUCUACCAGCCACAGAAAAGUAGGCAUUGUGGCAUGUAUUUGCAACCUUAGCCCCCAGGAGACCAAGAUAAGAGAACCAAGAGUUUGGGGUCAGCCUGGGCUACACAGGGAGACUCUGUCUUCCAACUUGCUCUGCAGAAAAGGUUCUCGGUGAAUCAGAGACUUCGAAUCUCAGUUAUGUUGAUGGCAGCAAAGGCACAGGAUCUACACGUCUCUGUCCCAUAAUGCCAGAGCUGCAGGCACCUGCAGCCAUGCCUGGCU